rnacentral:ncRNA from 1 species
AAAUAAGCGUUGAAGAGGAAUAGUACAUCCGUUAUGAAGGUUUCAGAGAGCCGGUGUUUUGGUGAAAACCGGACCUUAUGCGGAAGGAAGCUCGCCUUGGAGCUGUGCAAGACCGACAUGAUUGCUCAUGGCGGCAUAUGCACCGAUUCAGCCCGCGUUAAGGGCUUUGAGUGAGCGUCGGACAGAGCAUGUUCGAGCUAACUAGGGUGGUACCACGGGAGAAUAACCUCUCGUCCCUAGC